GAUGUCCAUAUGCACUUAUGGUAUGGAAAAUAUUUGUCCAUUUGAUCACAGGAACACAGCGAGAUUAGAUAAAUAGUCUUUGUCUUAAUGUGUAUCUUAUAUAUCUCUAUACUGAUCAUUUAAUUACUUGGAAAAAUGAAUCGACUCCUUUUUACCGCCUUUUAAGAAAUUAGACGGAACUUUAUUCACUAAACAAGCGUUGCCUUUUAUUUUCUUUGAUCUAUAGGACCACAAAGAAAAUGUUUGUGGAAAUGCAGUUUUGACUUGUAAGUAUUGCAAGAAAAAGAUACCAAGGAAGAUAUAGAAAACCAUGAAAGUACAAAUUGUGAUGAAGUGCCCACUGACUGUGAAUUUCAAGCCAUUGGAUGUAAUCAUGACAAAACUUUAGAACGAAGGAGAUCCAACAACAUAUGAACGACAAUGUAAUUGAUCAUAUGAGCCUCUUAUUACGAUAUGUACAACGUCCACAGUUUACCACUGCUGUUCAAAACUUGGGUGACCGAAUCACAGCUGUUCGUUCUAAUCCCUCAGAAAAAUUUGUGAUGCUAGCAGGAAAACCUACCGGCCUGGAAAGGAGGAUUGAGACUCAGGAAAGGAGGAUUGAGACUCAGGAAAGGAGGAUUGAGACUCAGGAAAGGAGGAUUGAGAGUCAGGAAAGGAGGAUUGAGAAUCGUGGUGAGGAAAAUCGAAUAGCUUCCCUUGAGCGUCAGGUGCAGAAGAAAGAUUGAUUCCUUCUGUGUUCUAACUCAAUUACUAAACUUGUAAGAUACAGGGCCAGGACUCAAGUGAUUUUGACUUUGUUAACGUUGCCUGGAAUCAAGAUCCGUGAUGAAGAUCGAGAAAAAAUCCCAGCGAAGUAUAUUUGUACUUACUGUCAUCACCUUCUCAUCAAUCCAAUGCAGACCUCGUGUGGACAUUUGUUUUGUAAAUCUUGUAUGGACAUUAUUCUUGGAAAUCCUGAUCCAAAAUGUCCUGAAGAUAAAGAAAAUUUGACCAUGGAAAGUGUUUUCCCGGAUGAUUUCACGAAGCGUGAGUUAAAAAGGAUUCAAUUACACUGUCCAUCUGAAGAGUGUAAAUGGUUUGGUAAAUACGAAGAA